rnacentral:rRNA from 1 species
GUCGAGCGAACAGACGAGGAGCUUGCUCCUCUGACGUUAGCGGCGGACGGGUGAGUAACACGUGGAUAACCUACCUAUAAGACUGGGAUAACUUCGGGAAACCGGAGCUAAUACCGGAUAAUAUAUUGAACCGCAUGGUUCAAUAGUGAAAGACGGUUUUGCUGUCACUUAUAGAUGGAUCCGCGCCGCAUUAGCUAGUUGGUAAGGUAACGGCUUACCAAGGCAACGAUGCGUAGCCGACCUGAGAGGGUGAUCGGCCACACUGGAACUGAGACACGGUCCAGACUCCUACGGGAGGCAGCAGUAGGGAAUCUUCCGCAAUGGGCGAAAGCCUGACGGAGCAACGCCGCGUGAGUGAUGAAGGUCUUCGGAUCGUAAAACUCUGUUAUUAGGGAAGAACAAAUGUGUAAGUAACUAUGCACGUCUUGACGGUACCUAAUCAGAAAGCCACGGCUAACUACGUGCCAGCAGCCGCGGUAAUACGUAGGUGGCAAGCGUUAUCCGGAAUUAUUGGGCGUAAAGCGCGCGUAGGCGGUUUUUUAAGUCUGAUGUGAAAGCCCACGGCUCAACCGUGGAGGGUCAUUGGAAACUGGAAAACUUGAGUGCAGAAGAGGAAAGUGGAAUUCCAUGUGUAGCGGUGAAAUGCGCAGAGAUAUGGAGGAACACCAGUGGCGAAGGCG